UACGGGGGGGGCAAGCGUUGUUCGGAAUUACUGGGCGUAAAGGGCGCGUAGGCGGUGCUCUAAGUCGGAUGUGAAAACUCUGGGCUCAACCCAGAGCCUGCAUCCGAAACUGGAGUGCUAGAGUUCUGGAGGGGGUAGCGGAAUUCCUGGUGUAGCGGUGAAAUGCGUAGAUAUCAGGAGGAACACCGGUGGCGAAGGCGGGUCUCUGGGCAGUAACUGACGCUGAGAAGCGAAAGCGUGGGGAGCGAACAGG
rnacentral:rRNA from 1 species